GAUGAACGCUGACAGAAUGCUUAACACAUGCAAGUCGAUGGGGAAGUGGUGCUUGCACCCUGGCAACCAUGGCGGACGGGUGAGUAACGCGUAAGGGACUUACCUGCAGGACUGGGAUAACAGGGGGAAACUCCUGACAAGACCGGAUAAUGUCAUGGAGCUGCAUGGCUUUAUGAUGAAAGGAGACGCCUGCGGAGAGCCUUGCGUCCUAUUAGCUAGUUGGUGAGGUAAUGGCUCACCAAGGCGAAGAUAGGUAGCCGGCCUGAGAGGGUGGACGGCCACAAGGGGACUGAGAUACGGCCCUUACUCCUACGGGAGGCAGCAGUGGGGAAUAUUGGACAAUGGGGGCAACCCUGAUCCAGCAAUUCUGUGUGCACGAAGAAGGUUUUCGGAUUGUAAAGGGCUUUCAGCAGGGAAGAAGUAAGUGACGGUACCUGCAGAAGAAGCGACGGCUAAAUACGUG
rnacentral:rRNA from 1 species